rnacentral:tRNA from 1 species
CUGCGCGACAAGCUGCGGGCGUGGGUGUGCGUCGCUGCGGGCGACGCCGAUGAGAUUGCACGGCGCGCGUUCGCGUCGCGCCACGCGUUC